UACGGGGGGGGCAAGCGUUGUUCGGAAUUACUGGGCGUAAAGGGCUCGUAGGUGGCCAACUAAGUCGGACGUGAAAUCCCUCGGCUUAACCGGGGAACUGCGUCCGAUACUGGUUGGCUUGAGUUUGGGAGAGGGAUGCGGAAUUCCAGGUGUAGCGGUGAAAUGCGCAGAUAUCAGGAGGAACACCAAUGGCGAAGGCAGCACUCUGGGACGUGACUGACGCUGAGACGCGAAAGCGUGGGGAGCAAACAGG
rnacentral:rRNA from 1 species